rnacentral:rRNA from 1 species
GAUGAACGCUGGCGGCGUGCCUAAUACAUGCAAGUCGAGCGAACAGAUGAGGAGCUUGCUCCUCUGACGUUAGCGGCGGACGGGUGAGUAACACGUGGAUAACCUACCUAUAAGACUGGGAUAACUUCGGGAAACCGGAGCUAAUACCGGAUAAUAUAUUGAACCGCAUGGUUCAAUAGUGAAAGACGGUUUUGCUGUCACUUAUAGAUGGAUCCGCGCCGCAUUAGCUAGUUGGUAAGGUAACGGCUUACCAAGGCAACGAUGCGUAGCCGACCUGGGAGGAGGAGCAGCACAGCGAGAACGAAGCGAGGGUCAAGACACCUAGGGAAGGAGCAGGAGGGGAAUCUUCGGAAAGGGGAGAAAGCCGAACGGAGCACCGCGGAGGGGGUAAAGAGGGUCUUAGGAUCGAAAAACUGUUUUAUUGGGAAAAAAAAAAUGUUGAAGAAAAAAUGCACGUCUUGAGGGUACCAAAUAAAAAAGCACGGGCAAAGUACGUC